UUUGUUUUUUUUAUAUCUUCGCUUGUAGUGUGUCGAACAUCCGAAGUUGUGAACGAAUGGGUCGGAAUACAAAAACUUGUUAACGCAAUCAAUAAUCACAAUAAAGCUUAUUUGAAAGACAGAGAUGGAACUAGUGAUUGGUUGGAAGAAGAAAACGACUCAUUAUCAGCUCCUUUUGACGACUUAACAGGUAACGAAGUAGGAAGUGAAACAGAUUCAACAGAUA